AAGCAGUGACACCUGAGAAGUCUCUCCCCAGCAGCCUGAAAUGAUCUGACCCACUUGCGCCUAGAUCAGGGCCACCUCCCUACCACUCUCAACCGCGGGGUGCCAGCCGACAGAAAGGGGGCGACAGUUUUAGUAGAUCUCCCUGCUGAUGCUCCAGGUACCUCGCAGGGACUCCCGGGCCCCUGAAACUGGCUAGAAGGGUAGAGGGGAAUGGGAUUUGCUGCCGUCUGCUUGCUCUCCCUGUGAGUGAGGCUUGGAUGCCACCCAGGCACCCCAGGGGUCAAGAGAUCAAGCUGCUCAAUGGGGCUGUGGGGGAAGAGGUGAGGGAGGCACAGGCAAUUUUGCUGUUCGGUUUAACCUACACUGUGGCCCUGCAGGGUUUGCAGGUUUCUUUCUUUGUCUUUUUAAAUGUUUAUUGAUGUAUUUUCAUCUACUUGAAAGGCAGAGAGAGAGAAACCUUUCACAUACUAAUUCACUCCCCCAGUGCCCACGACAGCCAAGGCUGGGCCAGGCUGAGCUAGGAGCCUGGAACUCUCUCAGGGUCUUCCCAUACCGGUGGUAAGGACCCAAGGCCUUGAGCCAUCACGCGCUGCCUCCUUGGGUGUAUUAGCAGGAAUGCUGGAUAGGAAGUGUGGAAUAGCCAGGACUCGAACCAGGGCAUCUGAUACAGGAUAUAGGAUUGGACAUCUCAAGCAGAGGCUUAAGGCACCGUGCCCCAAUGCCUGCGCUCUCUCUCUGUCUUCCACUGACAGUUAAGUGCCUCGUAACCAGGACAGCUGGGCCCAUAUGAUGCUGGUGGUCCCGUAAGAUCAUAAUGGAGCUGGAAAAUUCUCAUCACCAUGGUAACCAUCUAACAGUGCGGCACAAACAUUACUCAGCUGUGUUUGGUGAGGUGGCUGCAAGCAGAGCUUCCGUGCUGCCAGUCCUGCAGAGUUACAGAGAGAAGAGGAGAGACACGAAGAAAGACAGAUCUUCCGUCCACCAGUUCCCUCCCCAAAUGGCCACACCUGUCAGGGCUGGGGCAAGCUGAAGCCAGGAGCCUGGGCUACAUCUGGCUCUCCCACAUGGGUGGGAGCAGUUGAAGCACUUGGGCCAUCUUCCAUUGCUUUCCUGGGCGCAUUAUCAGAGAGGUGGAUCCGAAGUGGAGAACCUGGGACUUGAAUCGCUGCUCACAUGGGAGGCUGAUGUCACAGGCAGUGGUCCGACUCCGCACUCCAGUGCCAGCCCUGGACUAGGAGCUUAGGAUGCUCUGCUGUCUUGGAACGCUGGAGAGCCAAACAGUAGGAAAGAGAUCUUUCGUGAAAGCAAGCAUGACCUUGGCUUUGCCCAGGAGCACCUCUCUCAGCUGUUGCUUGCUCUCAGCAUGGUUCCCCAAGGGGCCCUUUGUGUGAAGACAAUCUCUCUGCUUCCUGAACCUUUCCCAGCGUUUCCUGUUUGCUCCGGUGCAGCUUGACUGUGGAAUGAUUACAGUCCAACUUGUUCUUCAACGAAUUCACCUUCUGAUUUUCGCUGACGCUACAGUGCUGCGCUUUGCAAUCUGUGGUUUUAAGGGAGCGAGUGAUGCAAAACAAAGGAAAGCAGGCCAGACGUUUCCCUUCCUUUAAACAUUUAAUAGUGCACGUACUGAUUAUAUUCUGUACAGAUAUAAAGCAAGUUAUAAACCUCUUCCUUUAUUUAUUUUUUUCCAUUUAGACUGUAUUUAUGUAAAGUGUAUUUACAAUAGGGAGGGGGAAAAGCCUUGAGGUACAAAACCCAAAAGAAUAUCUGAGGUAUAAAUACAAGGAUAUUUUAAAUAAUAAUCUUUAUCAUGCUUUAUCUAUGUUUCAAAGCACAGUGGACAUGUGUACAUGUUUCUUAAUAGAAUGGUAUAUACAA